AUUUAUUAUUACUUUUAUCAGAUUCUAAUUAUUUCUGUGACCAUUGUGGGUUUUUCUUCCAUUAACUGAGGGGUACCAACAAUUUUGUCCAUGUGUGUAAUCUAGCCUGUUAUUCAAUAAUUAGUUUUUUCCCCUGUUUCAGAGGUGACAUAUUGCGGCUAUAAAAUAUUUCUUCCUGCAUAGAAGAAUUUGUCCUGUAAAGGCAACAAGCUUGUGUUACCAUGCAUCUUCAUUUUGAGAUACGAAAAACCUUGUUUCAGUACUGAAAAUAGAACUUUACAUCUGCUACAGCUAUUUAAUGUUUCUUUAUAAACAUUUCUUGUGCUACCCUGCAUUACAGCAACAUGGUCAUAGGUGAUGUGAUGUGAUGUAAUCAAAUCAAUAUGCACUUACUAAUUUUAUGUUUUUGGUCAGAAGGAGCUUUGCAUACAAAAGUUGGCGUAGUAUGUUUUGUAAUGAUACUCGGUUGUUAUUUUAACCCUACAGAGUGGCCUGCUGUCCAUGAGAACCUGAAACCUUUGGGGAUUGGCAGUGUAAUCAAAUGAGGCUUCAGUGUGAAGCAGGAAAUGUGCUCACAGUGGUUUAUCAUUGUCACUUACCAGUGUCAAAUCGUGUUAUUGCAUUGGAGUUUAUUAAAUACAGACACGGGUGCCUUAGCUGAAUGUCGAACAUUUUAGAUGAUUGUUUUGGUCUUUUAGGUGAUAAACCUGGAAACAUGGAAAAGUAUCACUCUAAACUAAGUGGAAUUUGUUUACCCAAACCACAGAUUAUGGAUAUGAGGUGCUCAGGUGAUUUAGUAUUUCACUUUUAUAAAGCUCAGGGUUGCAAAAAAAGAGUGGUGAAAAUCAAGCUCCAAAAACACUUCAUCCCCUAAUAUGUAACAUAAUGCAACUCGAAAGCAUCUCCACAACUCUAGGCUGUUAUGCAGACUUAUAUAAAUUUGUAGCCUCCGAACCCAAACAGAGUUUCUGCAACUGUUUCCACAAGAUGCACAGUAAAUAAGACACUGUGCAUUUCCAGUUUGAUUUAAAUGCAUCAUUAGUGUUUGGUAAAAUGCAAGUCGGGAUGUCUUCAGAGAUAUGGCAAAAGGACUCUUUUUUCAGUCUUAACUUCACAAUACAAAAUAUUACAUGACUACAGCAGCUUAUAUGACAUGUAAAUACUCCAUUUAAUUACUGAAAAAGUUUAUGUACUGCAUUGUUAAUUCCCUGCUUUUAUGAUAAAUUUCAGAUGCAUUUUGAAGACGUUUUUACGAAAUUGUAUGAAAUGUUAUUCUGUACACAGUUUGUUUAUUUCUAUUGUGUAUAUGAACACCUGUUGGUUCUGUGGGGCUGAGGUGCCUUGUCUUGUUUUGGGAGUUUUCAAAAUGCCAUAAAGGCUGUGUUUGCAGGACUACAUCGUCACUGUACAUCAAAAGCUACUAAUUAUGAUUUAAUACAGUUAUUCAGUGUACCCACAGUGUUGGUUAGAGUGAAUGAGUAUUGCGUUUUUAUAGAGAACCUUAAAAAUAUUCCGUCUACAAGUAUAUAUACAUCUUGUCAAAAUAGUACCUAAACUGCUUUGUAUGUGCUGUCUCUCAAACUUAGCUUGGCUGUCUAUCAGUGAACAUCUUUGGUAAUUUACUCAUACCCCAUACUUUGUAGUAUUGUAAGUAAAACUUAUUCUAUUCCCUUGGCCAGAGUAAUCAGACAGCAGCUCACUAAGGUUGCAAGCAACAAUUAUUUCCAUUGUUGAUUAUUUUCUGCAGAUUUUCUUUGACAAUCAUCAGUGAGUCCACUGGUCCACAAGAAAUGGUGGAAAAAUAACACAUUUUUAGAAUCAGAUUUUUCCAGUCAGCGAUCCACAAUGCCUGUUUACAGUCACAUAUGAAAGAAGCACAGUGAUGAAACCAGUAACCAGUAUAGAUUUUUAUAUGAAAAGGGACUUGAACUAUCAAUUAUCGUUACAGUUUCGGAUUCAUUUCAAAACCACCAGCAUCUGCUUCAUUCUCUCAGCUCUGCUCCCUUAUGAUGAGUGAAUUCAUGACUGCUUGUACACAUAAAGCUCUUUCCGCAUUCUCGCUUAUAAUGAAAUAAUCUCUGUCAUCUGUACCUUGUGGACUGGUAACGGAUAGAACUCUUCAUACAAAACAUUUUAAAGCCACGCGAUUAACACUGCACUACUAGUACCAGCAUCAACCAAGGAAUGCCUAAUCAACUAACGUAGAAUGAACGUUAAUCCCUUAACCCUCAGGAAGUGUGUCUGUGGAAUGAAUGUCAAUGAGUCCAAUCAGACACCUCCAGUGUAGACAGGACACAUUUCGUAGGCAUUUAGUCAGAUUGUACAAUACAAGCUGAAACACAAACUAAUAAAUCAUGCCAGCAGUUGCUGAUGUUCAUGCAGUAAUCUCCUGUUUGUCUUCAGUCAGUUUAAUGUAUAUGUUUAAUGUAAUUCAGUUCUCUGGGCUGUUGUGUGUUUGCUGGCUUCUGUAAGUUCUGUGGUCUGUCUGGGGACAUUGUGCCACAUUUUACUGGAGGCUGGAAAUGGGAGUAUGACAAUAAAUGUUUUUUUUUUUUUUUAAUGAAGCAUUCUGUUGUGGGUUAAUCUGCCUCCUCAGUCUCAUAUACUGGAGCAGGGGUGUCAAACAUGUGGCCUGUGGGCCAAAACCAGCCCUCCAGGCGGUCCAAUCCGGCCACCAGGACCACUUUGUAAAAUGUAAAAAUUACAGAGAAGACGUUAACUGUAAAUUUGUAAAGCCAUAAAUUUAAAAAAAAAAAAUAAAAAAUCUAGAUCAUGACAAGUUGUUUGAUCAUAAAGGAAAGUACUAGAUUGCUCACUGUUCUUUAGUCAUUGUGUCUCAUUUUUGCAAUAGUUUGUCUUCUUUUUUUGUCUGACUUUUGUUGUUUGUCUCAUGUUGUUUGUCGUUUUGUUUCUCGUUUUUGUCUUUUUAUGUUUC
ensembl:lncRNA